AGACUCAGUGAAAUUGAACUCGCUGUGAAGAUGCAGUGUACCCGCGGCAAGACGGAAAGACCCCGUGAACCUUUACUAUAGCUUGACACUGAACAUUGAGCCUUGAUGUGUAGGAUAGGUGGGAGGCUUUGAAGUGUGGACGCCAGUCUGCAUGGAGCCGACCUUGAAAUACCACCCUUUAAUGUUUGAUGUUCUAACGUUGGCCCCUGAUCGGGGUUGCGGACAGUGUCUGGUGGGUAGUUUGACUGGGGCGGUCUCCUCCUAAAGAGUAACGGAGGAGCACGAAGGUUGGCUAAUCCUGGUCGGACAUCAGGAGGUUAGUGCAAUGGCAUAAGCCAGCUUGACUGCGAGCGUGACGGCGCGAGCAGGUGCGAAAGCAGGUCAUAGUGAUCCGGUGGUUCUGAAUGGAAGGGCCAUCGCUCAACGGAUAAAAGGUACUCCGGGGAUAACAGGCUGAUACCGCCCAAGAGUUCAUAUCGACGGCGGUGUUUGGCACCUCGAUGUCGGCUCAUCACAUCCUGGGGCUGAAGUAGGUCCCAAGGGUAUGGCUGUUCGCCAUUUAAAGUGGUACGCGAGCUGGGUUUAGAACGUCGUGAGACAGUUCGGUCCCUAUCUGCCGUGGGCGCUGGAGAACUGAGGGGGGCUGCUCCUAGUACGAGAGGACCGGAGUGGACGCAUCACUGGUGUUCGGGUUGUCAUGCCAAUGGCACUGCCCGGUAGCUAAAUGCGGAAGAGAUAAGUGCUGAAAGCAUCUAAGCACGAAACUUGCCCCGAGAUGAGUUCUCCCUGACUCCUUGAGAGUCCUGAAGGAACGUUGAAGACGACGACGUUGAUAGGCCGGGUGUGUAAGCGCAGCGAUGCGUUGAGCUAACCGGUACUAAUGAACCGUGAGG
rnacentral:rRNA from 1 species